UAUUGGGCAAUGGACGCAAGUCUGACCCAGCCAUGCCGCGUGCAGGAUGAAGGCGUUAUGCGUCGUAAACUGCCCCCCAUCCAGGAAGAAACGACUCUUGCGAGAGGCAUUGACGGUACUGUAUGAAUAAGCACCGGCUAACUCCGUGCCAGCAGCCGCGGUAAUACGGAGGGUGCAAGCGUUGUCCGGAUUUAUUGGGUUUAAAGGGUGCGCAGGUGGUUUAUUAAGUCAGUGGUGAAAGACGGUCGCUCAACGAUUGCAGUGCCAUUGAAACUAGUAGACUUGAGUAAAGUAGAGGUGGGCGGAAUUGAUAGUGUAGCGGUGAAAUGCAUAGAUAUUAUCAAGAACUCCAAUUGCGGUAGGCAGCUCACUAGGCCGAAUUGACGUCAGGGACGAAA
rnacentral:rRNA from 1 species